rnacentral:tRNA from 1 species
GCCUGGGUGGCGGAACGGUAGACGCAGGGGACUUAAAAUCCCCUGACCGUAAGGUCGUGUGGGUUCGAGUCCCAUCCUAGGCACCA